rnacentral:rRNA from 1 species
UACGUAGGGUGCAAGCGUUAUCCGGAAUUAUUGGGCGUAAAGAGCUCGUAGGCGGUUUGUCGCGUCUGCCGUGAAAGUCCGGGGCUCAACUCCGGAUCUGCGGUGGGUACGGGCAGACUAGAGUGAUGUAGGGGAGACUGGAAUUCCUGGUGUAGCGGUGAAAUGCGCAGAUAUCAGGAGGAACACCGGUGGCGAAGGCGGGUCUCUGGGCCGUUGCUGACGCUGAGGCGCGACAGCGUGGGGAGCAAACAGG